AUUGAACGCUGGCGGAAUGCUUUACACAUGCAAGUCGAACGGCAGCACGGACUUCGGUCUGGUGGCGAGUGGCGAACGGGUGAGUAAUACAUCGGAACGUGCCCAAUCGUGGGGGAUAACGUAGCGAAAGCUACGCUAAUACCGCAUACGAUCUAAGGAUGAAAGCGGGGGAUCGCAAGACCUCGCGCGAAUGGAGCGGCCGAUGGCAGAUUAGGUAGUUGGUAGGGUAAAGGCCUACCAAGCCGACGAUCUGUAGCUGGUCUGAGAGGAUGAUCAGCCACACUGGGACUGAGACACGGCCCAGACUCCUACGGGAGGCAGCAGUGGGGAAUUUUGGACAAUGGACGCAAGUCUGAUCCAGCCAUUCCGCGUGCAGGAUGAAGGCCCUCGGGUUGUAAACUGCUUUUGUACAGAACGAAAAGGCUCUGGUUAAUACCUGGGGCUCAUGACGGUACUGUAAGAAUAAGCACCGGCUAACUACGUGCCAGCCGCCGCAGUAACAC
rnacentral:rRNA from 1 species